AACAGCUGAUCUCCCAACGUACACGCUGACUGCUACAUUUAUUAAACGAGAAGCUACCUUGAGGUCCUCAUCAUAAUGCACUGAGAGGUCAGUGCAUCAUUAACAAAGCAGCAGUCACAGGCAACAAAGGCUGCACAUCUGGGCAGGCAUGGAUGUCUCGGUGGAGCAGAGGGGAGGCCGAGGACCGACUGCACAAUGUGUAAAUGAACGAGGCCCUGAAGGGGACGGCAGUCAACAAGCACCCGUUGUCUUCCUGGCUGCUUUUCAAAGGACAUCUGAUCACCGGGCUUGCCGCACGCCACACCGCUUGCAGGUGGUCUGUCUGCACUUAGGGGCCGAGAACAUUUAAUAUUUCAUAGGAGCAGAGUACACCCCUGGACGCCAUCAUUGAGUCCACAUGUCCUGCAAAAAGAAAGCUGGUCUGUGAACACUCGGCUGAAAUAUGCGGCCUGCCGGCCCCCUCUCCACCAUGCUGCUCGCUCACUUGCUGGGCCUCACA